GCGGCGAAUGCCCCGCCCGCCCGGCGUGGGGGCUGCGGGAAGGAUGCGAAGUCUGAGCGCGGCUUGGCUACUGGGGGGAGCCAUCCUGCUGGCGGCCUCCGCCUCUGGCAGCUGUACCACCCCAGGAAGUUCUGGGAGCACUGAGCUGUAUUCUAAUCUGGUGACAAUAAUCCUGGUCUGAGAAAAAGUCGCCAUUCUUAAGAGGACAUGAGUUCUCCAAUUCGCCUUCACUGAGGCAGUGUCAGACUCACCAAAAUGGACUAUUUCUUUGACCUCGUAUUGCUAUCAAAUGUGGAUAAAACAAAAAUAAGUCAAGAUUUUUUUUCUUAUUCUCACUCUAUUUUGCCUGCCCACAUUAGCUGCCUGGCUGUGAGACAGGCUGAUGGUCAUUGUUUACAACUUUUGCCCAUUCUGAUUGGUAUCAGUGUUGUACCUGAUGUUAAGUAGUUUGAACACAAUCUCUGCUGUAGGGAUUUGCAUUUACAGCAGGAGGUAAAAUCAUGUGUUUGGCCUAGGUGGCCCAAUGACUUGACUCCAGCUUUCAGGCAGCCAAAAGGAAAAAAGGACACUGAUCAGCUAGACAAUUCAGUUCCCCUAAGAUGAUUGCUUAGGCAAAUCGGAUCUCUUACCAGCAUGAAGGCCACACAGAAACUCCUCCUGAGAGUCUUCAUAGACAGUGAAUGAUAUGUGCAAACACCAGCCAGCCCCAGAUUAGACUUGUGUAAGCCUGGUUCUAGCAGUUUUCUCAGCGAUUGAGUGACAUCACCCCAGAGCACAGCCGCUGCAGCACUUCUUGGGGAGACCAGUCUGAUAUGGCUCAGGGACCUAAUUCUCUACCGAACUCACUAACAACAGGAAUAAUUUUAGAAAAUGUGGGAAAUCUGGAGAAAUGGGUGGACUUCUCCAAAGAAUCUUCCUUUAUUUCUUCUCAUUCUUCUGCCAUCUGCUCUCAGCAGUCCAGUCAUGGCACAGACCGUCUCAGGGGGCAUCCUGCCAAGGGUGGAGGGAGGGGAAAUGGCCAACUGAGAUCCAAUGUGUCUGUCACCCAAGGACAAUGAUAAGCAGGAUGGGGGCUAACUGUUACGAAGUCUGAAACACAAAUUCUUCACAAGUAGCCUCUGAGCUUUUAUUUCACUUAUUUAUGGUUACGAAUAAGUAAGGAUGGGAAUUUUUCUACUCACAUUCUUUUAGAGGGAUGAUACUUAAGAAAUAAUCCUUCUGCUAAGGUUGUAACCUCCAAAGAAAAAUGUCUCAACUUGGUGGAUACAUAGGAGUAUAAAAAAUCUAAAAGAUUACUCAGCUGUAACCAGAUAGUUUGCUUUGGCUGGAGAAAGGUAAAUGUCAAAGCAUAUGAUGUCUAUAUAGUUAGGAGCCAAAUCAAGAGGGGAGGAAUACAUCAUUAUUAUAUGAACUUUGGAACUCAGCAUUGACUAAGAGUAGGAUAUUUGAGCCACUUUGACCACCCCCAAUCUAUUCUGAACUGUUGGGAAAAGGAGUCAGCAUGCUAAAAAUCAGCAAAUACUUUUUCUGAAAUCCAGAUCUUCUGUAGACAAAGUAUUAAAGCCCAAAAGAAAAGCAAAUAACGCAGGGUCUUUAUACCCAGGUCUCCAUGCAGAUCUGCUCAAGGAACCUUAAUCACAUAGAGGCAACCACAAAACUCCAGGAAAUAAAGUGGUCUAGAAGGUUGCAAGCAUAAUUAGGAUCUGGGACUUUGGGUAACUUUGUAACUUAACCCAAAACUGGCAAAUCCAGUCUAUCAGGCCAGUUCUUCGUGGAGACUCUGCCUCUUUCUGGACCAAGGGCAGGGCCCCCUGGAGACUCAAUCAGCUUAGUAGAAUCCUUCUUGAAUGGGGUGAGUCACUUACCCCAAAUUCUGCAAUUUGAACUCCCGUUUCUUAAUUGUAGGCAUUGGAGGCUGGUUCUAGCUGCUGAAGCAGAAAAGGAAUUCAUAGACUUGAAUAUGAGUGGCUCACAAAACUCUUGUGAAAGCCUGAGGCAAACCUCCCAUGAAUGAUAUCCAGAACCGCAAUGCAGAAUGGCUAGAUGAGGAAACCUCUCGUCUGUGGUGCCAGUGAACCGAGCCGUUACUUGCCCUACUUGACUUUGCAGCCAUCACUACUGCAGCCAGUAUACAUGCUGUGCCUGUACCAGGAGCUCUCACCUCAUUUGUGGCAGAAAAUACAGGAAAACAUGAGCUUACACUACAGAGCAAAUUUCAGAAACAAAACUUUUAGGGUUGCUAUUUAUUGAAGGAGGCUAGACUGGAGUGAGGAGAAACCUUUCUCCUCCGAGACUCUGAGGUGGGAACUGCCUCUCAGAUGCUCAUUGAGGGAGCUAGCGAGGGGGCUGGUGGAAAGCUUCUGGAGCUCAGGGUUGUAUAUCAAAAAAGCAGAUUAAUGGCAAAUAAACACUAUUGCAUCUUAACGAACUCUGGGAAUAAUCAGAGAGGCUCGAAUGAAGCAGAGGUUGCUCAGGUGACUGAGGGGUGACAAAGAAGUGCUGCUUUGCCAUCUGAGGUGAUGCUCAAAAUCAGAAUCAGAGACGUUUGGUUAAACUAUGACUUUUUUUUUUUAAGCCCUAUAUUAAAUCUAUUAAGAUAUAUUCAAGCAGGUCACUUGCAGAGAACAUUCCCCUAAAUUUUCAUUCUGCUUUGCGGAAAAGGUGCUGUAGGAAAUAGGAAAUAGUGCCCUCUCCUGUAAGAGCUUGGCAUGUGUAUCCUUUCUGAAACCACAAAGGAGAAUUUCCUCCUCACAUUAUUUUUCAUUUCUGAGGAAUAAUAAUACAAGGAACAUAUUUAUUUAUACUGCACUUGUCUGAAGAGAUGUGCAAAAAAAAAACUCUCUAAACUUUUAACUAAUAAACUAAUUAUCUAUUGGUGUAUAACAAUUUACCCCAGAUUUAGCUUGAAACAUGUAUAGUCUUGUGCAGUGUCUGUGGAACAGGAAUUUGGGAGCUGUCUGGCUGUAGUCCAGGCUUAGGAUUUCCCCAAAGGUCAUGCCACAGUCAUCUGAAGGCUGGACUGGGACUGGAAGAUCUGCUUCUGAGGGGGCUUGUCACGUGCAUCACAGGGUGGUGCUAGUUGCCUGGAGACCUCGUUCCUUUGCCACAUGGAUUUCUCCAGAGGGCUUCCUGGGUGUCCUCACGAUAUGGCAGCUGACUUCCCCCAGAGCACAGGAUCUAAGAGGAAGCAAAACAGAAGCCAUGAUGUCUUCUAUGGUCUAGCUCAUAGGUCACACACAACAUCCUAUUGGUGACACAGGUCUGCUCGCUCAAUGUGGGAGGUGACUAUACAAAGGCAUGAGUACCAGGAGACAAGGAUCCUUGGGGCCAUUUUAAAGCCUGGCUACCACUGGAACCUUGUUUCAGCAUCAUUGCAUAUAAAUCAUUGCAUAUAAGAUGACAGUGGAAGUAUAAUUGUUGGACCCGCUGAUAGCUAGUCCUGACAGUAAACAUAAGCUGAGGUUCAUAUAUGUGGCAUAGAUGGAUGCCACUUGUCCAAAUACACUUUGCCUGCUUAUUUUCAGUCUGGUCAAUGUGACCAGCCACGAUUCAGAUCAAGAUUCACCCACUGUUGGCCCAAGAAUAAAUCUGGGCACCUAAUAGGUAUUAAUAAUGUUCUACUUCUUGCCAUCAGUAUAAGUAACUCAGUUUCACUCUCUAUUUUCAGCAAAAGAAUUUUCUUAGCUAUGUUCGCCGAGUAAUUUAUUUCAGUGUUUAACAGCCUUCAUGAUUGGGGAAUUUUUAAAUUCCUUUAAAAUUGUUUGAAUUCUUCUUCAUCUGAUUACAGCAGUGACAGAAAGCAAGUGUCAGUUUCUCCUCUAUCAAUAAUCCUCCUUAUAGUCUAUGCCAUUACGUUACUUCUCUUCCUCUAGUGAAAUUAUUCCAGUUCUGCUAACGUUUUUCUCAUUCUGACAAGGGUAGGGAUUGUGUGUGUGUGUGUGUGUGUGUGUGUGUGUGUGUGUGUGUGUGUGUGUGUGUGUGCGCACAUGCACACAUUUUAUUAAGGACAUUUUCAAAGAAACAGAAAACAAAAAAGUAGAAUAAUCUAAAGAACUGCCGCAUACCCAGGACCCAGCUUCAAAAGUUCAUUGACCCAUAGCCAAUCUGGUUUAAUAUCUUUUCUACCCACUUCCCGUUUUACCACCUAUCUCCUGCCCACUGGAUUAUUUUGAAGCAAAUCACAGAAAUCUCAUUUCAUCCAGGGAAAUAGAUGUUUGACUUGUGAAAGAAAAAUAUUCAAAUUCUUGACUUUACAAUUCUUUUUGACUCAGCUUUAGUCUGAGGGUAAAUGGCAAGAUAAAACACCUUUAAUUCAGCAGAGAACUUAGGAACAUGGGAGAUAUCAUUCAAGGGAGAAAGAAGGGAAAUGUCCUUUCUGUAGUUUCUGGAGCAGAGACAUCUGACUUUCCUGGCAGAAAUGUGUGGCCAGUUCUAAACCUGUUUUUCUGGACUACAAGGGUGAGGAGAAAAAGUAUGUAGUCAGGACUCUCCCUGAAGCUCUUCGAGGGGCCACUGCCCUGUGCGUUGUUGUCCGAAUUGUUUUCUGAAGGACAAAUGACAUGCACAGCAACCUGCUCACACACUCUGAUCCUUAAUCUGAUUUUGAAGUAGAAAAUGUUUUUAAGGGAAAGGGAGCUUUAAGGGCAUUUAGCCAACUUGUCAUUUUCCUCCUGUGGAAAGGAGGCCCAGUUAUGUCCUGUAACUUGUGCUUGGCUUGGUAUUUAAUAAUAAUAUAAUGUAUUUUUCAGUAAUAUUUUGAGCAUUUGUCCUGAAUUAUAUGAUCUGUCACAGACUAUCCAUUGCUGGGCAAAUAUUUGCUACUUACUGGUGUGUGUGGAAAGGGCUUUCGGAAAGUCAGUGGCAGUGGCUAUUACAGCCACAUCUGUUUAUAAUGGGUGGUGGGUUAAAUGCUUUGUCAACUCUAUGAUUUUUUAAAACAUUUCAUUUCAUUUUUUUGGUUAUAAAAGUAAAAUAUAGACAUCACUGACGAUUUAAAGUUACCAAAACUAAGAAUAACACAAGCAGAAAGAAAAACAAAAAUCACCCUUAAAAAAAACACCUAUUAACAUCUUUCCUUAUUUCCUUUAUUUCUUUUCAUGCAUACCCAAAAACAUUUCAUGACCAUUUUGAAUCUAGAAUUUUAUAUGGUGUUUUAAAGUGCAACAUUAUACCUUAAAAGACAUUGCCUAAUAUGGAGAUAGAUUGCAAUUUUAAAUACUGUAUAAUUACAAUUGUGUUUUAAUUGAAAAUGCAGUUUAACAACAACAUAAAGGGAUUGAAAAAUCAUCCAUAAUUCUGUUAAAUAACUAUUACAAUUAUUUGUAUUUUCCUUUUCUAUAGGUACACAACUUUUUUCCAAUCCAGCACGUUUUUUUUAUUUUUAUUUUGCAGCAUGUAUAUGAUUUUCAUUUGGCUAUUUUCACUUAUUUGCUGAAUUUUUUUUUGCAUUUCUGUAGUCUUUAUAAUUCUACUUUGAAGUGGCUGCAUGAUUUUAUUUUUUUUGUCAGACAAACAUGGGUUUGAAUUUCAGCUUGCUGUAAUAUAAUUAUGUGAUUCUGGGAAAGUUUCUUUG